UACGGAGGGUGCGAGCGUUAAUCGGAAUUACUGGGCGUAAAGCGCGCGUAGGCGGUUUGGUCAGUCGGAUGUGAAAGCCCCAGGCUCAACCUGGGAAUGGCAUUCGAUACUGCCUGACUAGAGUAUGGUAGAGGGAAGUGGAAUUUCCGGUGUAGCGGUGAAAUGCGUAGAUAUCGGAAGGAACACCAGUGGCGAAGGCGACUUCCUGGGCCAAUACUGACGCUAAGGUGCGAAAGCGUGGGGAGCAAACAGGAUUAGAUACCCCAGUAGUCC
rnacentral:rRNA from 1 species